rnacentral:lncRNA from 1 species
UGCUCUCAAUUUAUAACCAAAUACUUAUGCCUGGCAAAGAACCAGUUCAUGGGAAAAUGAGGCAGUACUUCCAUCAACCCGAAGGAAGGUAUGGGCAGCUGGAGGACAGGCAUCCUUGGUGAGGACCCCUUGUCUUAUUUUGCAGUGCCUCUUCGAGGAUCUAGAAGAGAUCUAAGCAGCUGCUUCUGGAGAAAUCUCUUAGAGAUAGAAGCCGCAGAGUUGAGACUGUGUACCCAGCUGGAGACCAGCUUCAUGCUAGAUGAACUUCUUCACCGCAGAGCGUCUCACCUGGAAUGUUGCUGUUCAUUGGGAGCAGACCUGGAUCUAUUUACCGACUACCUGGAGAUUUGCUUGAGAAGGUUCUGAGUCUCAGUUUUAAGAUGGAGGGAAAAAGAAAAGGAGUGAUCUUUAAGGAAGACUGAGCAACAAGCUCUGGAAUAUUAUUGCCGUACUGUGCUUUGUCGCUCAGUUAUGUCUGACUGUUUGCAACGCCAUGGACUAUAGCCCACCAGGCUCCUCUGUCCAUGGGAUUCUCCAAGCAAGAAUACUGGAGUGGGUUGCCAUUUCCUUUCUCCAGAGGAUCUUUCCAUCCCAGGGGCCGAACCCUGGUCUCCCUCAUUGCAGGCGGAUUCUUUACCGUCUGAGCCAUCAGGGAAGCCCAAGAGUACUGGAGUGGGUAGCCUAUCCCUUCUCCAGGCGAACUUCCCCACACAGGAAUUGAACCAGGAUCUCCUGCAUUGCAGGUGGAUUCUUUUCCCAGCUGAGCUACCAAGGGGGAAGCCCAGUAUAUUAUUGAGGCCAAUAAAUGCCUUCUCGGUCCCUUGGGCAAGUGAAAUAGCGCCCUCCACUGGCCGGUUCCCCACAACACAAGAUGUCUCCAGGGAGCGCGUAUGCUGUUUAUUAAAAAAAUUUUUUUUUAAAAUAUAAACUUAUUUUAAUUGGAGGUUAAUUACUUUACAAUAUUGUAUUGGUUUUGCCAUACAUCAACAUGAAUCCGCCACAAGUGUACAUGUGUUCCCCAUCCUGACCCCCCUCCCAUCCCUCAGGGUCAUCCCAGUGCAGAUAUUUAGAGACAAAAUUACAUGAUAUCUGGCACUGUGGUAAAAUUAUCAGCAAAAAAAAAAAAAAAGAGGGGGUUGUUGCAAUAGAUUAACACACGUAUGAUACUGUAUUGAGUUUAUUAUUUCAAAGUAUCCCAGAGGCAGUGAUCCCAGAUUUAAUAUGAGGCUCCGCCAGAGAAACAAGUCCCUUUUAGGAGAACUUUGCAUAUUCUAAUUGUGUUUCCCCCCAGAUUUCUACUUACUGUACUAAAGCCAAAUUAAUUCCAGAGAGGGAGAAGGUUCUUUUGCUCUCGCCUUACUCAUGCAGCAUACAUUUUCAUUAUUCCUUCCUCUUUCUGGUCCUCAUCGACUUGCAGACAUGUUUAUAUUGCUGAAGGUGUAUUGAAUUGAUAAAACUUUGUAUGAUCAUUAUUCUUAAAACACAGAGUGCUGCUGUGAACCAUACCCUCUGCUAAGAGCUGACGGCCACUUAAAAGUUUUACUGGAUUCUCAUAACCACUAUUUAGGUAUUCUGAUUAGUCUUGUUUUCUAGAUGAGGAAACUGAGGCUCAGAGCAGAGAUUCACAACCACCUACUUUAACAUCAAGAAAGUCUGGAAUUUGGUAGCAGGUGUUUGAGAGCCACAAAAUUUGUGAGAUUUUUGUGCAAAUCACUUAAAUGUUUCUGAGUCUUGGAUAGUGAUUCCUUGCUAUAUCCUGGGAUCAUUGAGAACUGAAAGGAGUUGUGUAUGUGAAGGUGCUUGAUAAACUGUAGGCUUUAUUAUAAUUCUAAACAAUAAUUUAUAUCCCUUCAUUAAUAAUCUUCCUGUUGUUGGAUUUAAAUGGCCUUUUAUUUAUUUGUUUUAGUUGCUAGACAUAACAUUGCA